CCGCCAGCCGCGCCGCCGGCCAGAGCAGCACCAGCCGGCCAGCACGCAGCCAGCCAGCACGCAGCCGGCCAGCGCGCAGCCUGCUGGAGCUUCUCCGCGAUCAGCUCCUCCGCGCCGUCAGCUCGCGUCGCCGACGCCGCCAACAUCGCGCCUCCAUCGCCAAGCAGUUGAUAGCAAAGGAAAAACAAAGUGAAAUGAACGAGAGAAAGAAA
rnacentral:lncRNA from 1 species